ACAAACCUGUAAGGGACCGUGGUGAGCGGACCGUGGUGAGGGGACCGUGGUGAGGAUCGCGCUGCCGCAACAAGACCUACAGCUGGGAACAGAGGUUGGAAACGAGAGGGCUUGUAUGGGUUCUAAAGGACGUAAAAGGAAGGAGACGAAAGCGUCGGCACUCGGAAUCCUGACUUCUGUUGCAGAGAUUAACGUAGCUCUUCGCGCACUGCUCGGAGGAGAGGAGUCCACAGCUUCAGCUGGAAAAAAAACAAGCGACAUUUGCCAAAACUGUUGAGCAGCACUGGAAUCCCAUGAGGGAGGAAUUACUUUUCUCGUUUUACCGAUCAGAAAGCUGUGCUUAGCGAGCUUAAGUAGUUUCUCAGACUUCACCCUACAGUCCACCUGUGCAGAAGCCAAGAUUUAUAUGCAGGUCUGGUUGCCUCCAAGCCCCUGCUCUGUAAAGAGGUACUUUUAUUUAGUGGAAGGAGCACUUUUUAAGGAGUCGGUCUAGAUCUAACUUCUCACUCUGCCACUUGAUUCGCUGUGAAAUCUGGGCCUCAGUUUUCAUUCCUCUUCAAAUUUGGGAUAAUAGUAGUCCUGCAUAGCGCACGUGGAUGUUGGAAGAAACAACCAAGAUGAUCUAUGAGGAAGUGCUUUAUAAACUGCAAAGCAUUGAACAAAUGAGGCUCCAGUCUGUUUGCAGAGAGAGCAGUCUGAUCAGUCCAGGAUCAAGGUCCCAGUCCCACUUUGUCAGCUGGGUCAAAGGAUCAGCCUGAAAAAGUCAUGAAAUGUGAACACAAAAGGCAUGUUCAAGUAAAAGCAAGUAACCCAUAUUAGGUGAAGCCUUGAGAUCUGAUGCUACAAGAGACUGAAAAGCAAGUUUAAACAGUAUACUCGUGGGUCUUAAAUACAGAGGGAAGAGCUUACUGAGUUCAAUAGGCGAUUCUUCCCAUGUAGAGGAUCACUGUUUAUUAUUGACACCAGAGCAAAAGCCAAUAUUCUUUGAGGCAACUCUCCAGCAUCUGUCAGUAUCUAUAAAGGUUUUUAUAAAGGACACUAGAUUAUAUGCUCUUGUUUUCACAACUGAUUCAGAAGUAGUUUAAACAUUUUUUCAUUUUUCCAAGUAUAUCUGAUUUGAAAUUGGGCUCCAGAAAGCUGUUUAAUAGAUGCAGUAACAUUUUGGGGGUACACAAAGAGAAAUAUAAAUAUUAAGUUACAUUUAGAAAUGUCUUAAGAACUUCCAGACUAUAUAUGUAGCUGUACAGCCAAGAAGCUUGUGUAUGCAGCAAGAGUCUGCAGGACCAAGUAUGUGGUCUUGGGGAGGUUGCACUGAUGUCACAUAGGACCCUGAGCUGAAUGCAAGGGAUGUUCUUGAGAAAGCAACUGUGAACUAAUUGUCUGGAGAGAGGACCCCUUGAGGCCAUUGAGUAGUCUGGUCUCAGGCACAGCCAGGAGAUCCUGUUGAGAAGACCUCUUGGAAAAAAUGCACAGUCCAAGAUGGGGACAUUGCCAAAGACACUUCUGAGAGGUCUUCUUGAGGAGACCAGAAUGGCAUCCGGUAUGAUAUACAGAGCCCAAGUCCAGGAGGCACAAGACUCGAAUCUGAGUUACUCAGCUAGUAACUAUUAUUAGCUGAAUCUUCCACAAGUCACUUUACCGCCCUAAGACUCAUUUUCAUGAUCUUCAAAAUUUAAUAAAUCUUAUUUAUAAGGUUGUUGUGAGAAAGAAAUAAUAUCACGUCUCAUAAAACUCUUGUGCAAUUUAAGAUAUUGUACAAAACAUAACACAUAAAAUGUAAGUUGCAGACCAGAGAACUCAAUAAAAAUGUUAUUAAACACAGGAAAUGAUUAAUUUUGUUUU